CCAUGUGUAGCGGUGAAAUGCGUAGAUAUAUGGAGGAACACCAGUGGCGAAAGCGGCUCUCUGGUCUGUCACUGACGCUGAGGCUCGAAAGCGUGGGUAGCGAACAGGAUUAGAUACCCUGGUAGUCCACGCCGUAAACGAUGAGUGCUAGGUGUUAGGCCCUUNCCGGGGCUUAGUGCCGGAGCUAACGCAAUAAGCACUCCGCCUGGGGAGUACGACCGCAAGGUUGAAACUCAAAGGAAUUGACGGGGGCCCGCACAAGCGGUGGAGCAUGUGGUUUAAUUCGAAGCAACGCGAGGAACCUUACCAGGUCUUGACAUCCCGAUGCUAUUCUUAGAGAUAGGAAGUUACUUCGGUACAUCGGAGACAGGUGGUGCAUGGUUGUCGUCAGCUCGUGUCGUGAGAUGUUGGGUUAAGUCCCGCAACGAGCGCAACCCUUAUUGUUAGUUGCCAUCAUUAAGUUGGGCACUCUAGCGAGACUGCCGGUAAUAAACCGGAGGAAGGUGGGGAUGACGUCAAAUCAUCAUGCCCCUUAUGACCUGGGCUACACACGUGCUACAAUGGUCGGUACAACGAGUUGCGAGCCGGUGACGGCAAGCUAAUCUCUGAAAGCCGAUCUCAGUUCGGAUUGGAGGCUGCAACUCGCCUCCAUGAAGUCGGAAUCGCUAGUAAUCGCGGAUCAGCACGCCGCGGUGAAUACGUUCCCGGGCCUUGUACACACCGCCCGUCACACCACGAGAGUUUGUAACACCCGAAGUCGGUGAGGUAACCUUUUAGGGGCC
rnacentral:rRNA from 1 species